GUUAGUACUGAUGCAUAUUUAUUGAACAUGUGGAUGUACUCAGCACUGUGUGAGGCACUGUCCAUACACCAGGUAGGUGAAUGUUAUACCCAUUUUACUGAUGGGUAACUGAGGCACUACAAUAUUUAUUUAAAGGUUGCACACCAACUCAACUAAGACUGCCUCCAGAGCCCUUGUCUCCUCACCUCUGUAGCAUCCCCACAAUGUUGCCCUGCCCACUGCUACAUCCUCAGGGAUGCAUCCCUGAGUCCUGGGCACACACAAAUGCGCCCAGGUUAUAGCUUUCUUCCUGAGGCUCCUGACUACAAAACUGGCUCCAUCUGGGGAAGCAGACACCAGAAAGCCAUGAGAGAGCAGCAGAGAGACAGAUAGAGGCACUCCAAAGGGUGAGAAGCAAAGGCCUGAGGUCUGGAUCAUUUGACUGGCACCACAAGACUCAGGUUCUGUCUAAACAUUUGCCCCUCAUCACUGCUGAGCAGAGGAGAAAGGGACUAAUAGAGCAGCUGAGGAACCGUCGAGUUCAGGGAGCUGGAAAUGCUGGCCCUGAAGCAGAAAGCCCUACCUCCAAUCCUUGCUUCAAUCUGGAGCCCUUGGCCACUGCUGGCCCACUGCAGAAGGUACAAAGCCAUCUGAGGAGCUCUUCACAGGGUCUCAGUCCAACCAUGUUGCAGCCACAUCUAAAUCAAGUCCCUUUUGUAGGGGUGGACCUUCUUCCAUAUCGAAACUCCAGUAUUGAUGGCAGGAUUGACUGACAGUGUGCACUAAGUCCCGCACAGCAUCUCUGGAUAUGUGACCCACGUGCUAUCUGUCCUCAGGACACUAUGGUGACCAGCUGCAGAGUAUGGGGUUCUAUCAGCUCAGAACGGACCAUUGGGUCUUAGCUUUGGUGUCUUGGUGAUAUGCCUGUCUGAGUCCACUGUGGUUCUGGUUCCUGGGCCAUCCUGGGGCACGCUGUUGGGUUUGGGAUGCUGAUGUGCAAUGAUGUCAGGUACAUGAUGGGAAGUGCAAAGUGAAAGGGCAUAGGAUAUGCACAUAGAAUUUUAAAAAAGCAGAGGAUUGACAGUCACCUUAGCUGGCGUCGCUGGUCCUACCAGAUCUGUGUGGUCUUCUGCAAUAUGCUAUCUGCACCAGCCUCUGGUCUACUUGCAGUUCAUCCCUUGCUUUAACCAGCACCUAUGGCGCCGGUUUCUGCCUUCUGCUCUUUGAGAAAGACAAGUCCGGUUUCUGCCUUCCACUCAUUGAGAAAAACAAGUCCUUGAGAAAAGCAAGUCCCUAUUUGGCUGUUCCUGCUUGGCCUGGUCGCUUCCGCAUAGUACAACCUAUCCGCUGUACCCACAUGGCUUGCUAGGAUUGGCUAGUGCUAGCUAUUUAAGUGUGGUUUGGGGAUUUCCCGGGGUCAGAAGAUUGUAUCAUGGUUCCUGAGUAAAUCUGCUUGAAGAUCUUCGCUGGUCGUGUCUUCCUUGCUGGUCGAGGUUGGGCGCGACACCUAUCUAUCUGACUAUGUCAGUUUGGCAUUUGAAUUUCAAAGAUCCUACAGUAAUGUUGCUCCAAGUAUCAGACAGUGAGUAAACUCUCAGUGAGGUGGAGCUGAGCAUGCAGACUCCGUGUAGAGCAAACCAUGUCUGAUGCCAGCAUGUAUCAGUUUCAGGCUAUUGCUGCUUGAGAGUUAGAGCAUGUGAACCUUGAACCUACUUAGGACUUUGAUGUUGAGUAGAAAGAAUGUUCAAAGUAGGCAGAUUUUAAAUCAGGACAAGUAUCAAAGAAAGCCUUGGCAUAAUGUGUUUGAUAGACUCCUCUGACUUCCUAGUAUGGAACUGUAGUAAACACAGCCUUUAUGACACGUUUGUGUGAGCACAAUCUGUGGCAGACCUUGCUUUAUUCCCAAGGAACCCAUACAGUGGGAAGAGCACAUCCUCAGUGAAGCACUGCAAAAGCCUUGAUCUCUUUAUGCAGGAAGAAGACUGGACUCACUUUCCUGUAUUUGACAGCACAUUUGUGUCCUAUUCAGGGAACAGAGAUGGUAUUUGGCAAAGUUGUUUGACCAAGCACAAGAGUCCAGAAGAGCUCAUCAGAUCCUCUUGGACUGGAGUUAAGAAAGUUAUGAGUUGCGUCUCCCAGCACGACUGACUCUGGAUCUGUGGGCUCAGAGCAGUAUUGUUGCCGAUGGAAAAAGGACUGAAGAGAGACGCACACACAUGCACCCCAGGAGCUGAGCACGGAACACUCGGGACUCACACAUCAUAAGUCGGUAAGCUCUCCCUUCCUCCACCGAGCUUCAGUUUUUCAGCCAUCUCUCCAGCUCAUGUGGAGCUCAUUGGAAAAGCACGCACAUCAAACGUUUGAAAAUAGACACCAGUGAUAUUGGGAAACAACCAGGUUCAGAAGAUCCUCUGAAAGAUCAUCUGUCCUCAAGGAAUUGAUUAAAGACUUCUAAUUGUGGAAACAGCAAGGAUGGCUGGUUAGGAAAAAAAAAAACAUACUCCUACAGAACAGGCAGGCUGAAGGAAAGAGACAAAAUAGAGGGUAACUACUCUACUGUAAGGCAAAGGACUCUUGUCUCAUGUCCAACUUAAUGGAGCUCAUCUUAAUGGACUCUGGGUAUAACUUGGGUCCUCACUCUUAGUACUUUGCCAACUGAGACAUUCCCCCAACUCUGUGUUGUCUUUUCUAUACAUCGUCAAACUGCUAUAGACCAAAGAGAAUUGAGACAUUUGUAUCUCCCUAAAUCUGGGCAAAACUAUAAAUACACUGUUGCCCUUUCCAGUGUCAGCCUCAGUCUGUGGUAGUGGUGAGCAGUGGACCUGAGUUCCCAUUAACCGUAAUGUAGAGUAGCUUCAAUGACAAGUGCAGCUGUGUACAUCAAUUUGUUUGUCCAUCACUACCACUCAGCUGGACACUUCUCAACUCAGAUGCCCAUAUAACCUCUCUUCAGAACCCAAGGCAAAGGAGCCAGUGCUCUCUAGAACAUUCUAAUUCCAUUGCAGAGGCUCAGAACAGAAUAAUAAUCAGGGAUGUGUACAAUGUAUCCAAAGCUUAGCAUGGUGAGUCAUGCCCUCAAUACCUGCUUUUCAGCCCCCCAUCCUUACCCUCUUACCAACAAUCCAGGUUUUAUUACUGGCCAUAAAAGAAAGAGGAGAAACCAGAUCUUGUGAAAUGUUUAAAUAACCUUAAAUUUUAUUUAAUAAAAAUUGCAUAAACACAACCAUAAGAUAAUGAAUAGAAAAGUUAAAUACAAACUACCACAUGUAAAAUAGGUUAUUGUAUAACUGGUAGUAUCAAGCCUAAAUACUAAAUCCCCAACUUCCACAGUGGGAAUGUUAAUAUAAUAAAAAAAAUCUUAAUUUCACAUUAAUA
rnacentral:sRNA from 1 species